rnacentral:lncRNA from 1 species
AAGAAGCUAUGACCUGUAGAGCUGAGAGAACGUGAACAAGAAACUCCCUUGCCAUGGAAGUGAUCGUCUCUAGUUAGUCUCCUAAAAUCCAAAUAAAUCUAUAAUUCGUGUUGGCUUUUACAUUUUAUAACAAGGAUGGUAUUUAAUAUUUAGGAAUGGAGUCUCCUUGAAGAGGUCCUUUACAUCCCUUGUAAGUUGUAUUUUCCUAGGUAUUUUAUUUUCUUUGUAGCAAUUGUGAAUGGUUUGGCUCUCUGCUUGUCUAUUAUUGUCUCAUGAUUUGGCUCUCUGCUUGUCUAUUAUUGGUGUAUAGGAAUGCUUGUAACUUUUGCACAUUGAUUUUUGUAUCCUGGGACUUUGCUGAAGUUGUUUAUUAGCUUAAGACCUUGGAGAAUCUGACAAUUAUGUGUCUUGGGGUUGCUCUUCUCGAGGAGUAUCUUAGUUGUGUUCUCUGUAUUUCCUGAGUUUGAAUGUUGGCCUGUUUUGCUAAAUUGGGGAAUUUCUCCUUGAUAAUAUCCUGAAGUGUGUUUUCCAACUUGAUUCCAUUCUCCCCGUCACUUUCAUGGACCCCAAUCAAUCAUAGGUUUGGUCUUUU